rnacentral:rRNA from 1 species
GCGUACUAGGGGCCAGGGGGCGCGGGGAUUGGGAGGGGGGUGGCGUUGUCCGGAAUUAUUGGGCGUAAAGGGCUCGGAGGGGGUUGAUCGCGUUGGAAGUGUAAUCUUGGGGCUUAACCCUGAGCGUGCUUUCGAUACGGGUUGACUUGAGGAAGGUAGGGGAGAAUGGAAUUCCUGGUGGAGCGGUGGAAUGCGCAGAUAUCAGGAGGAACACCAGUGGCGAAGGCGGUUCUCUGGGCCUUUCCUGACGCUGAGGAGCGAAAGCGUGGGGAGCGAACAGGAUUAGAUACCCGGGUAGUC